AAAUUGAAGAGUUUGAUCAUGGCUCAGAUUGAACGCUGGCGGCAGGCCUAACACAUGCAAGUCGAGCGGUAGCACAGAGAGCUUGCUCUCGGGUGACGAGCGGCGGACGGGUGAGUAAUGUCUGGGAAACUGCCUGAUGGAGGGGGAUAACUACUGGAAACGGUAGCUAAUACCGCAUAAUGUCGCAAGACCAAAGUGGGGGACCUUCGGGCCUCAUGCCAUCAGAUGUGCCCAGAUGGGAUUAGCUAGUAGGUGGGGUAACGGCUCACCUAGGCGACGAUCCCUAGCUGGUCUGAGAGGAUGACCAGCCACACUGGAACUGAGACACGGUCCAGACUCCUACGGGAGGCAGCAGUGGGGAAUAUUGCACAAUGGGCGCAAGCCUGAUGCAGCCAUGCCGCGUGUGUGAAGAAGGCCUUCGGGUUGUAAAGCACUUUCAGCGGGGAGGAAGGCGGUGAGGUUAAUAACCUCACCGAUUGACGUUACCCGCAGAAGAAGCACCGGCUAACUCCGUGCCAGCAGCCGCGGUAAUACGGAGGGUGCAAGCGUUAAUCGGAAUUACUGGGCGUAAAGCGCACGCAGGCGGUCUGUCAAGUCGGAUGUGAAAUCCCCGGGCUCAACCUGGGAACUGCAUUCGAAACUGGCAGGCUAGAGUCUUGUAGAGGGGGGUAGAAUUCCAGGUGUAGCGGUGAAAUGCGUAGAGAUCUGGAGGAAUACCGGUGGCGAAGGCGGCCCCCUGGACAAAGACUGACGCUCAGGUGCGAAAGCGUGGGGAGCAAACAGGAUUAGAUACCCUGGUAGUCCACGCUGUAAACGAUGUCGAUUUGGAGGUUGUGCCCUUGAGGCGUGGCUUCCGGAGCUAACGCGUUAAAUCGACCGCCUGGGGAGUACGGCCGCAAGGUUAAAACUCAAAUGAAUUGACGGGGGCCCGCACAAGCGGUGGAGCAUGUGGUUUAAUUCGAUGCAACGCGAAGAACCUUACCUGGUCUUGACAUCCACAGAACUUUCCAGAGAUGGAUUGGUGCCUUCGGGAACUGUGAGACAGGUGCUGCAUGGCUGUCGUCAGCUCGUGUUGUGAAAUGUUGGGUUAAGUCCCGCAACGAGCGCAACCCUUAUCCUUUGUUGCCAGCGGUCCGGCCGGGAACUCAAAGGAGACUGCCAGUGAUAAACUGGAGGAAGGUGGGGAUGACGUCAAGUCAUCAUGGCCCUUACGACCAGGGCUACACACGUGCUACAAUGGCAUAUACAAAGAGAAGCGACCUCGCGAGAGCAAGCGGACCUCAUAAAGUAUGUCGUAGUCCGGAUUGGAGUCUGCAACUCGACUCCAUGAAGUCGGAAUCGCUAGUAAUCGUAGAUCAGAAUGCUACGGUGAAUACGUUCCCGGGCCUUGUACACACCGCCCGUCACACCAUGGGAGUGGGUUGCAAAAGAAGUAGGUAGCUUAACCUUCGGGAGGGCGCUUACCACUUUGUGAUUCAUGACUGGGGUGAAGUCGUAACAAGGUAACCGUAGGGGAACCUGCGGUUGGAUCACCUCCUUACCUUAAAGAA
rnacentral:rRNA from 1 species